AUUCAUCUCAAUGGAAAGGAGCUGAAAUGUCUGGCUGCACUUCAAGAGCAUAUACUCUUCACUGAAAGAUAUUUGCCUCCAAAGGCUCAUGAGGUAAUCUGAGUCAUGCUGAGUCCCCUCCCAGGCAAGAAAUUCCCCUACACAUCAUGACCAGCUUGAUUGCAGUGGCCAGUGAAAGACAUGUUCCCAGAGAAACAGGAGGAAUUCUGGGUCUGCUACUUGAGCUGUUGCCAUCACCACCAGCUCGUAUGUAGAAGAAAAUGCUCCCGGGUGCAAAUGCACUAUAAAACAGCAAGGAGUCCAUUUCCUUCACAUGCAUAAAGUCAAAUUAUGUUAAUAUUUAUAAGUGCUCAGAGUUCCUUCUUUAGUUUCUAUGGCAGCUGUCUAACAAAUACAUUAUAGUUAUUCUGGACCCAUAUGGAGUUGC